AUCAGAUGGUGAGCUGUAUGAAACCUCACUCUGCUGAAGCUCCACUUCAUGACAAUCCUUGUACAUGUAACAGUCUCUGAAGUUUCACACACCCAAGGCCAUACCGAGGAGGAACUAACGAAGGAACGUGAUAAAAGGCUAUGCCGGAGGAAUCCCAAUACUUUGUUCUCUAAUGGAUGGGGUUUGUUCUUCAAGCUUCCUAUACUCCAGGCAGUUGUUUGGAAAACAUUGUACAAGUGGAAACCUGAAUAGUGGUGGGUGAGAGGACCAGAGGAUUAUGCAGCCGAACAAUCACAUCUCCCAACUCCUUCUGCACUUGCC